rnacentral:rRNA from 1 species
AUGGAGCUGCUGACCGAUGCCCCAGCGCACCACGUCGUGCCGGACAAGUACGUCUUCCCGCCGGGGAAGCGCCUUGACCUGUUCCCCGAUGACGACAGCCCCAGUGUUGCCUUCCCCGUCAUCGACAUCCACCCCGACACCCUAUCUGAUGAACGCCGCCGCUGCUCGGUUGCGGCGGAGAUCAUCCAGGCCGGCAAGGAGUUCGGCUUCUUACAGGUGGUGAACCACGGCGUUGGGGAGGAUGUGGUGCAAGGGUUCCGUGCCGCGGCCGCGGGGCUCUUCGCGCUGCCGGCGGAGGAGAAGCUUCCCUACUGCUCCUACGACAUGAGCAAGCACUUCAGGCUUGCCACCAGCACGGCCUUCCACCGCAACCAGACCUGCUACUGGCGGGACUACUUCAGGAUCCGCUGCUACCCCGUCACUGACGAAGUCACACGCCACUGGCCGUCCAAGCCGCCGACGUUCGGGACCUCCCUCGCAGAGUACUCUACGGCGGUGCACGAGCUCUCCCAGACGCUGCUCCGACUCAUUGCACAGGGGCUUGGCCUCGACGAUGGCUUCUUUGCCGGCGACCUCAGCAGCGGAGUGACCCAGAUGAAUGUGAACUACUACCCUCCAUGCCCGGACCCCUCUGUCACGCUCGGGCUCUUCCCGCACUGUGACCGCCACCUCCUCACUGUGCUGUCCCAGGGCGACGUCGCUGGGCUCCAAGCGAGGCACCGCGAGAGGUGGCUCCUUGUGCCCGCGGUGCCCGGCGCACUCGUCAUCAACUUCGGCCACCAGAUGGAGAUCGUCACCAAUGGGCUGCUGGCCAGCGUCGAGCACCGUGUGGUCACCAAUGCCACGGCAGCGAGGCUGUCGGUGGCGACACUCGUCACGCCCAAGAUGGAGUGCCGCAUCGGUCCGGCGCCGGAGAUGGUGGACAAGAUGACAAAUCCAGCCAAGUACAGGGAGUUCAUGUUCAGCGAGUUCAUGGAGACAUAUGCUGCCGCUGACGCCAGCAGGGAGAGAGUCCUAGAGUCCUUCAAGAUCCACCACUAG